ensembl:miRNA MIR1234 microRNA 1234
GUGAGUGUGGGGUGGCUGGGGCGGGGGGGGCCCGGGGACGGCUUGGGCCUGCCUAGUCGGCCUGACCACCCACCCCACAG